GAGCCNNAANNNGNUUUNNNNCCCCCNNNGGCUCAGAUGAAACGCUGGCGGCAUGCUUUACACAUGCAAGUCGAACGGCAGCGCGGGCUUCGGCCUGGCGGCGAGUGGCGAACGGGUGAGUAAUAUAUCGGAACGUACCCAAGAGUGGGGGAUAACGUAGCGAAAGUUACGCUAAUACCGCAUACGAUCUAAGGAUGAAAGCAGGGGACCGCAAGGCCUUGUGCUCCUGGAGCGGCCGAUAUCUGAUUAGCUAGUUGGUGAGGUAAAGGCUCACCAAGGCAACGAUCAGUAGCUGGUCUGAGAGGACGACCAGCCACACUGGAACUGAGACACGGUCCAGACUCCUACGGGAGGCAGCAGUGGGGAAUUUUGGACAAUGGGGGCAACCCUGAUCCAGCAAUGCCGCGUGAGUGAAGAAGGCCUUCGGGUUGUAAAGCUCUUUUGUCAGGGAAGAAAAGGCNGUGGCUAAUAUCCANAGCUGCUGACGGUACCUGAAGAAUAAGCACCGGCUAACUACGUGCCAGCAGCCGCGGUAAUACGUAGGGUGCAAGCGUUAAUCGGAAUUACUGGGCGUAAAGCGUGCGCAGGCGGUUUCGUAAGNCUGUCGUGAAAUCCCCGGGCUUAACCUGGGAAUGGCGAUGGNGACUGCGAGGCUAGAGUUUGGCAGAGGGGGGUAGAAUUCCACGUGUAGCAGUGAAAUGCGUAGAGAUGUGGCAGGAACCCNCGAUGGCGAAGGCAGCCCCCUGGGUCAAAACUGACGCUCAUGCACGAAAGCGUGGGGAGCAAACAGGAUUAGAUACCCUGGUAGUCCACGCCCUAAACGAUGUCUACUAGUUGUUGGGUCUUAAUUGACUUAGUAACGCAGCUAACGCGUGAAGUAGACCGCCUGGGGAGUAUCGGUUCGCAAGAUUAAAACUCAAAGGAAUUGACGGGGACCCGCACAAGCGGUGGAUGAUGUGGAUUAAUUCGAUGCAACGCGAAAAACCUUACCUACCCUUGACAUGGCAGGAANCNNGGAGAGAUCUGNGNGUGCUCGAAAGAGAACCUGCACACAGGUGCUGCAUGGCUGUCGUCAGCUCGUGUCGUGAGAUGUUGGGUUAAGUCCCGCAACGAGCGCAACCCUUGUCAUUAGUUGCUACGCAAGAGCACUCUAAUGAGACUGCCGGUGACAAACCGGAGGAAGGUGGGGAUGACGUCAAGUCCUCAUGGCCCUUAUGGGUAGGGCUUCACACGUCAUACAAUGGUACAUACAGAGGGCCGCCAACCCGCGAGGGGGAGCUAAUCCCAGAAAGUGUAUCGUAGUCCGGAUUGUAGUCUGCAACUCGACUACAUGAAGUUGGAAUCGCUAGUAAUCGCGGAUCAGCAUGUCGCGGUGAAUACGUUCCCGGGUCUUGUACACACCGCCCGUCACACCAUGGGAGCGGGUUUUACCAGAAGUAGGUAGCUUAACCGCAAGGAGGGCGCUUACCACGGUAGGAUUCGUGACUGGGGUGAANCNACANAANNNGNUAACCA
rnacentral:rRNA from 1 species